rnacentral:rRNA from 1 species
GGGAAUGUGCGAAUGGCUUACACAUGCAGUCGAUUCAAGUUACCUUCGGGUAAUGAGGAUGGCGGACGGGUGAGUAACGCGUAAGGAACUUGCCUCUUGGACUGGGACAACUGUUGGAAACGACAGCUAAUACCAGAUAUUAUGAGAUUCUCGCAUGAGAAACUUAUGAAAGCUAUAUGCGCCAAGAGAGAGCCUUGCGUUCCAUUAGCUAGUUGGUGGGGUAACGGCCCACCAAGGCGACGAUGGAUAGCCGGCCUGAGAGGGUGAACGGCCACAAGGGGACUGAGACACGGCCCUUACUCCUACGGGAGGCAGCAGUGGGGAAUAUUGGACAAUGGGCCACAAGCCUGAUCCAGCAAUUCUGUGUGCACGAUGAAGGUCUUCGGAUUGUAAAGUGCUUUCAGUUGGGAAGAAGAAAGUGACGGUACCAACAGAAGAAGCGACGGCUAAAUACGUGCCAGCAGCCGCGGUAAUACGUAUGUCGCAAGCGUUAUCCGGAUUUAUUGGGCGUAAAGCGCGUCUAGGCGGAAAAAUAAGUCUGAUGUUAAAAUGCGGGGCUCAACUCCGUAUUGCGUUGGAAACUGUUUUUCUAGAGUACUGGAGAGGUGGGCGGAACUACAAGUGUAGAGGUGAAAUUCGUAGAUAUUUGUAGGAAUGCCGAUGGAGAAGUCAGCUCACUGGACAGAUACUGACGCUGAAGCGCGAAAGCGUGGGGAGCAAACAGGAUUAGAUACCCUGGUAGUCCACGCCGUAAACGAUGAUCACUAGGUGUUGGGGGUCGAACCUCAGCGCCCAAGCUAACGCGAUAAGUGAUCCGCCCUGGGGGAGUACGCACGCAAGUGUGAAACUCAAAGGAAUUGACGGGGGACCCGCACAAGCGGGUGGAGCAUGUGGUUUAAUUUCGACGCAACGCGAGAAACCUUAU